rnacentral:rRNA from 1 species
AGAGUUUGAUCCUGGCUCAGAACGAACGCUGGCGGCGCGUUUUAAGCAUGCAAGUCGAAGGGUCUGUUUUUUCACGAGAACAGACACUGGCGCACGGGUGAGUAACACGUGAGUAUCUACCUUAAAGUGGGGGAUAGCUGGUAGAAAUAUCAGAUAAUACCGCAUAUGCCGAGAGGUGAAAGUGGCUUUUGCCACGCUUUAGGAUGAGCUUGCGGUCCAUUAGCUAGUUGGCAGGGUAAAUGCCUACCAAGGCGACGAUGGAUAGCCGGCCUGAGAGGGUGUACGGCCACAUUGGGACUGAGACACGGCCCAGACUCCUACGGGAGGCAGCAGCUAAGAAUAUUCCGCAAUGGGAGCAAUCCUGACGGAGCGACGCCGCGUGGAUGAUGAAGGCCGAAAGGUUGUAAAAUCCUUUUAUAUGGAAAGAAUAAAGACAGGAAUAGAAUGCCUGUCAUAUGACGGUACCAUAUGAAUAAGCCCCGGCUAACUACGUGCCAGCAGCCGCGGUAAUACGUAGGGGGCAAGCGUUGUUCGGAUUCAUUGGGCGUAAAGGGCAUGUAGGUGGUUUUGUAAGUGUGGAUUUAAAGGCGUAGGCUUAACCUAUCGCAUGGUCUGCAAACUACAAGACUUGAGUAUAGAAGGGGAAACUGGAAUUCCGCGUGUAGGGGUGAAAUCUGUAGAGAUGCGGAAGAAUACCUGUGGCGAAGGCGAGUUUCUGGUCUAAUACUGACACUAAAAUGCGAAAGUGCGGGGAGCAAACAGGAUUAGAUACCCUGGUAGUCCGCACCGUAAACGUUGCACACUAGGUGUUGGCGAUUGUAUCGCUAGUGCCGCAGCUAACGCGUUAAGUGUGCCGCCUGGGGAGUAUGCUCGCAAGGGUGAAACUCAAAGGAAUUGACGGGGGCCCGCACAAGCGGUGGAGUAUGUGGUUUAAUUCGACGAUACGCGAAAAACCUUACCUGGGUUUGACAUCCAUUUGACCGAUACAGAGAUGUAUCUUUCCUUCGGGACAGAUGGACAGGUGCUGCAUGGCUGUCGUCAGCUCGUGUUGUGAGAUGUUGGGUUAAGUCCCGCAACGAGCGCAACCCUUACUGUUAGUUGCCAUCAGGUAAUGCUGGGCACUCUAGCAGAACUGCCAGUGAUAAACUGGAGGAAGGUGGGGAUGACGUCAAGUCCUCAUGGCCCUUAUGUCCAGGGCUACACACGUACUACAAUGGACUGCACAAAGGGUAGCAAGACCGUAAGGUGGAGCCAAUCCCAAAAAACAGUCCUCAGUUCAGAUUGAAGUCUGCAACUCGACUUCAUGAAGCUGGAAUCGCUAGUAAUCGCAGAUCAGCAUGCUGCGGUGAAUACGUUCCCGGGCCUUGUACACACCGCCCGCCACACCAUCCGAGCCGAGGACACCCGAAGUUAUUACCCUAACCGCAAGGAGGGGGGUACCUAAGGUAUGCUUGGUGAGGAGGGUGAAGUCGUAACAAGGUA